GGUGGCGUAGCUCAACGGAUAGAGCAGGGGAAUUCUACUCCUCUGGUUGAGGGUUCGAAUCCUUCCGCCAUCACCA
rnacentral:tRNA from 1 species